GGUUGGCUUUCUGGGCUGCAAGGGCACAUUGCUGGUUCAUGUCCAGCUUCCCAUCCACGAGUACCCCCAAGACUUGUUAUAUUAGCACACAGCAGUACACACUACUGUUGCAUGGCCUGUGUUUUUUGGGAAGACUUUUGAAAUUUAAUUUUUUAUUCAACUUCUGCUGAUGUAAUAUAUUAAAAUAUGUCUGAAGUUGAUGCUGGUUGAGUGAAACUUAAAACACAUCGGUGUGAUUGUGUCUUUCAGUGAGGAAGCCAAUAAUCUCCCUUUUUGGAAUAAAAAUGGAAAUGAAUGGAUUCAGUGCCCAAAACAUCGUCCCUGGAUGAUUAAGAAAAAUAAAAGGAUGAUAUAAGGAUUUUUCUAGGGCCCAAAUUCAGAUUGGUGCAAUAAGGUACUGCUACGAGUGUGCAUUUUCCAGAGUAACCAGGAGACAGGCAGAAAAAGAAGGGAGCUAAAACGCCCUGGAGACAGCCAGAAAACAGAGCUGGAAAUGGGACCCUGAGAGAAUGGCUGAAACAUCUCUUUAUAGGCUUGAGUGCUGGCUAGAAAAUGACAAAGAAAUUAUCUCUGAUUUGAUUCCAGCUAUCUUCAAGGCUUUUGUACUUUCUUUCUUCUUUUGUGCAAAAUCAACAGGAUUGCAUAAAAAAUACCUGAAUCCCUCAGCAUUUUCUCCUCCCAAUGGAAACAACUUGAAAUGACACUGAACAAUGAUCAAACAGCAUAACAUACAGCUCCUUAUGAAAGUAGCUGUAUUUUUGUAGUCAGAAGGGAGAGGGCCUUGAGCUUUCCUCAUAGCUAUUUAAUGCAUCAAAAUUUUAUGCUCCUCUGAUACGUGGACCUUGGAUAUAAGCCAACAACCACCAAAGUCAGUAGGAACUUCCCAAAGCCCAUGGAAGCCAAUAGUAGUAGAUCAGGUGGUUGAUGGUAGAUAGAUUAAUAGUCAAAAUGCUCUCUCCAGAGUGUAACUUACAGGUUGGUUGUUUCAGAACUGAAGCAGUGUUAAAGAAUUCAAUCUCGAAUGAUAAAUAGACUUGUAAGCCUAUCAUCGUUCCUUUUUAUAAAGCCAGCUUUGAUAUAGUGGAGCUAGAAGAAGGUGUUAGCUGAGGCUUUAGCUAGCAUACAGGCAACAGGGAUGUGUUAUUACAGGAGGCACAGUGCUGUAAGUCACAGUUACGGUUUAAUGAUAAGUCUUCUCAUACGCAACCCAUCCCCAGCAAAAUCCUCCUUUGGCUCUCUUGUUCCCAGAUUUGAGAUCCUGACCUUCGCUCAAAAACUCUUUUUAUGCUGAUAAACCCUUACAGAAAGAGCAUGGGCAGGAGCAAUGCCUGAUCAGCUGCACAGAGGAAAAACUGCUAGCAUUCCUUUUCAUAAUCAAUUCCGGUUCCUUGUGGAGAAACUUACGUUGGGGUGGAUUUUAUCACCAGUGCAUUAACUUGGGUGCGGGUAAGGGAUGUAGAAGGGGAGCACACAGUUCUUCCAUUAACAUUAUUGAAUGUUUUGGGCUUGCUUCUAAAGGAAACUCUCUGUUUUUCCUCUGGACUCUCAGACAGCUCAGAAAUCAGUAAAUCACAUAAAUCACACCAGGAGAGGAAGGUAUGAUAUUUUCUUUUUUAAACCAGCUCUUCUGUGUUUUGUCUUGCCUGCAAAAUCCUUCCUGCUUCUCAAAUGCAAGAUAACAUAGGCAGAAAAGAUGUAAUUAUAAACUGCAGUUUUCAUUUCAUAUUCUUGAAGUAAGAAUGGGGCAAAAAUAGAUAUGUUAAUGAUCUCCUAUCAUCAUCACAUCCUCUUCAGCUAAUAUGGGAAGAGGACACAAAAUUACCUGGACAGAGACUAAGCAUAUUGACUUCAGUUAUUCCUUAGCUGAAGCUGUUUUUCAGUGUGUGAGCACGAAAAGCUUCAAGGAACAAUGCAUAAAAAUGCUAUUAUCUUCAGGGAAAAAAAAGCAAUAUUCAGCUGGCUUGACCACUGUACAGGUGAAAGCACGGCGUGUACCAAGACUGUUGAGUAUAUUUGCAUGAGAUUAGUUAAAUCAUCGAAGGAAAAUGUCCCCCCCGUCUGCCUCACUCUAUGCUCAGCUGCUGAGGAACUUGGAAGCAAAAGCAGCAAUGAAGAUGCAGAGCUGCAUGAGCAGUGCCAUUAUUAUUCUGAUAAAAGAAGAGGCCAAGGAGGCAGAAGGAGGGAGACGAGUGGUGGGAAACACUAGUGGGGAAAUGAGCGGCUCUGGUCUCUGCUGUGGUCAAAGUCACAGCAGGCAACAUGGGGCAAAUGUGCCUGAAGCGUCUGAGAUCUCUUUGUUGUACUUGACUUCAUCUUGAACAGAACUUCAUGGCACCAAAACCCACGGGCUUUGUUGGGGGGGUACAGCACGCGUCAGCACUUCCCUAUGAAAUGCGAGUCAUUUGGCAGAAUGAGCACCCCCUGCCCCUUCUCCGCAGCGCUAAUAGCCUACCUGGACAUGAGAGGCAGUUUCCUAUCUCUGCCUUUGUGCUGUGUGCAGCAGGAAUCUGAUCGCAGUUGGGGUCUCUGGGAAAGGCAGCGAUGCCAGUAAUAACUCCCACAGCAUCGGCUGCAUGACAUUACCCAGGUUCUGACUGCCGAUACAAUACAAUAAUAUUUGCUGAAGCUGAGGCAGACGCUGGCCUUCCCAGCGUAGCUUUAGUAUGUGCCUGCCAGGAUGGAUGGGGCCUUUUUGUGGACUGGUUUUGUGUUGUUCCAAAGCCUUCACAGGCAAUUUGGAAAAUAUGUCCCCAGGACAUUGUGCUUUGGAAAACAGGCAUAGGGGUUGGGAUGUGUUAGCUCAGCUGCAGUUUUAUUGGCAGUAUGGGACAUGAAAUAACACAAAGUUUUCAUCUGGCUGUAGAAAUGACUAAAUAGAAGUACUUUACGACUUCGGGAAAGUUACAUUCUUGUCAUGUUUCAGCAUUUGCAGAUACAACAGAUGAAGCAAAUGAAAUUAUGCAUGCACUAAAAGAAUGCAUUGUUAGCUACAGUCUUUAUUAACUUGCCUGGAAAUAAAUAAACACAAGUAACUAGAAGAUGUACCUUGAAGAUUUGGUAGACUUUUUUUUUUUUGCUUUAUGCCUACACAUGUAUGUGUCCGUGUACCUGUAGGUGACCUAUCAGCCAUGCCUGCAGUGUUUGUUACCUGGUGGAUCACACUGUGUUAAGAGAAGCCGCAUGACUGCACAUCCCUCAUUUGCAUUCCAGUUGGAUACAGCUUUAGCAAUUUGUUUAUGCAACUAAAUGUAUGCAAUCAUCAAUAACACAGUCUGCAAUAAGUCCCAAUUAACGUUGCUGCAGGAACCUUCCUUCAUGUUUGUGCUGGCUUCUGUAGAUUUAAAAUGCUCAACCUUAAUGAUGCAUUAAUGUUGUUUUCUUUCUUUCUUUCUUUUUUUUAAUGCUGUGCUUGCAGUAUCAGGUCCACCAUUUAUUUUGUUCUCUUUGCCCAGUGGGGACACUUUUUCCACUGACUGUUUAAUAAGAAGCCUUCAUGAAUACAAAAACCAUUUAUCUUUAUUAGUUGAGUAUUUUUGCUCGUCACUUCUCUUAUUUUUAUGAAUUAAAUAUUUAUUGAUUUUUUUUCCACAAAGAAAAAUGCCCCACUGCUCACUGAGAACAAUUACACCAGCUAUGUACAGGGAACAAGAACCAUAAGCAAAGCAAACUUAUGUCUGUAAGUCAUGUCAGAAGUGACAGGAAUUGCGUGUCCUCUAAUAUAGAAUCAUAGAAUGGCUUGGGUUGGAAGGGACCUUGCAGCCCACCCAGUUCCAGUCCCCUGUUGUAUGCAGGGCUGCCACCAUCAGACCAGGCUGCCCAGGGCCCACCCAACCUGGAUGUGAACGCUUCUUUUAGUUUAAAGCCAUUCCCCCUUGUUCUAUCACUGUCAGACCUGACUGGUCAUCCCCAUCACCCUGAUAUCUCAUGUGAACUACCAGCACCUUUAAGUGUUUGUAAGAACAGGAUUGCCUCCUCGAGUUUCAAUUGCAAGCUGAAAACUGUCAGGAAUAAUUCUAAAAAUGGUUUCCCCUCCCCAGCAGUAUUCUGCAUUGCCUGACAUUAUCAUGCUAGAUAUUUAAUUAUCAUGAGAUCAAUUUAUUAAUAUGAUUAAUAUAAUCCUAUAUGCUUCAUAUUUGACACAGGUUCAGGUUGGAUAUUAGGAAAGAUUUCAUCUCAGAAGAGCGGUGGGACAUUGGCACAGGCUGCCCAAGGAGGUGGUGGAGGCACAAUCCCUGGAGGUGUUCGAGAAAGGUGGAGAUGAGGCACUGAGGAAUGUGGGUUCAUGUGCUUGCUGGUGAUGUGGUGGUUGAACUAGAUGAUCUUAGAGGUGUUUUCCAACCUUAGUGAUUCUGUGACUCUAUGAUUCUAUACGGUCUUCAAAUUUUAUCUCUUACUCCUUUAAUUCCCAAGGGUAUCUUAACAAUGCUUUGGAUUACUGCAUGCUCUUGGGAUAGUUACUUUUGGGCUUGUUGGAGCAGGAAAAAGAGAGCAGCUGUACCAAGAGCAGAAAACCUUGUGGGACCAGGGCUUCUGGGCAAGGCUGUGCCUUUGCCCCAGUCACCUGGGAGUCUAGGCAGGGAAGAGCUGGAUGAGUGGCACUUGCUAACCCACCAUCUUGGCUGUGUGCUCUUCCCUUGGAUUUCCUGUUCUCAGAGGUCUCAUCAGUCUUGUAUAAAUUCAGUUAUUGCUGAGCCUUAUACCUCUGAGACUCCUUUGAAUUGAGUUGAAGUUGGCUUCAAGAGAGAAAGUGGCAGAGUGCAGUAGAGUAGGUCUUUUCUCCUUAGGACACAGGCUAAUGAUCCUGGCCUCUGCUUGCCCUCCUCUUCCAUCCUACAGAUCUUGGCAGCUGAGAUUAAAGUGUUUUAGUGCCCCUGGUAGAAAUCAUCUCCACAAAUCACCUUUCCUCAGGCAAAUACUGCCUCUGGGGAUGCAGCCAGCACUCUGAACCCUGCAAUCCAAAUUGGCCAGCAGGAAGCUCAUUACUGACUCCCUCAAAGCCUGCAGGAUGCCCCGAAGACCCAGACUUUGGUACAUGUUUUCAGGAUGGAGGGAGCUUGGCAAAGAAAGGGAGCUUCUGUCCCUGGGCCUUGACCUCCGCAAGAGGUUCCCUCAGCCGCUGCAGGCCCACAGCUGGGGCUCAGCUGCACAAGUUUCAGGUAGUUUCUGAACACCCAGCUGUAAUUACUUCUUUUCUUUAAGGAAGCCAUGAUUAAUAGCUCUUUGGGUUGGAUGGCUGCCAGUGGCACCAUCAGUGGGAUGACUUCUCCAAUGAGAACAAGACAAGAGCCUGGACCUUCAGCAACAAGGCAGGAUGGUCCUCUCCAAAUUGCCUCAGGUGUAAGAAAUGAGGAUUUCCUUCCUCUCUGGGCAACAACAAACUGUGCAGGAGGGAUACUGACUGAUCUCAGCUGGGCUUACACCACAGGUGACGUGGGAUCAUCCUAAGGAAGCACAAGCAGUCAAACCAGGCAGGCAGAUUCCUUGGGCUUCUUACUCUAUCCUUGCUUCAGUGGUCUGCCAUGAAAACCAGUUUUUGGUUUGGAGUUUGCUUUUGCUUUCUAAUGGAACAGAAACACUGUUUACACUGUUGUAGUUUUCGUUAUCUGCACUUUUUUUCCCCUGCAACUGCAGUAAUGUCACCUCCCUCCCACUUCUCUGGGCACAGAGACAUCCGUCAAAUGCCCACAGCGAGUUUGUCACGAAAUGCCUUCUGACAGGAAUGGCAGCUUGCAGCCCGCAGCUAUGAAGGAUGUUAUGAAGAUCAGCGCGAGGACGGUACAUGGGGCAAAUGCUGAGGGCUUGUGGCCGUGUCUGUGCUGUUAUAUCUCAUUCUGUUGAAACACUCCUGGAACGAUAAUUUGCUCAUAACCGGAGCCACACUUCUCAGGAAAAUGAAAGGCAGCAGAACUAGAAGAAAUUCUCUGCGCCCCCUGACAGGUAAUGCCUUCCUCAGGGACAGGCCUUCCUCUCACUGAAGGCACACACACCGCCGUGGAGUUGACCACACUGUGAGAUGAGAACCCUGAGGGCCAUGGUCUGCCCAGGGGUCCAUCUGGAAGCACUGUUAACAUCCACAGCUUGUAUGGUGUGGUGAGCAACCCACAUGCAAAGAUGUAUGUCUUUUUCCUCUGUCCUCCCCCUCUGGAGUUUCUAGAGAAACAAAUUUCCACUGGAAGACCCACUCCUUUGGCUGCUGUGCUGCUUGCUUGCACUGAGGUGUGCAGAGCGGCAGCUCCAUACUGCUGUGCUCACCCUGAGCAAAAACCCUGAGGUGUCUCCAAGGCGCCCGUGCCCGUGGGGAGACCGCAGAGCCCUGCAGCAGGCUCAUCGCUGCCAGCUGAAAGCAGCCCAGCUACAUGUGACAGUGAGUGAUGGUGUAUUCUCCUGUGGUGUCACUCAAGUCACGGCUUCACCCUUGUUGUGUUCGUGAUGAAAGGUACUCUACUCCUGCUCCUCCUUCUCCUCCCCAGGACUGACUCUUUGAAAACCACGGCUGGCUUUCAAGAGCUGGCAGUUGAAAGAGAGAACAACGCGCUGCCCAUUAAAGCUAACCCUCCUGAGUGAGCUCAUGGGAAAAUCGGAUCCAACCUGUCUGUCUGAGCACUAUUUAUCAGCACUGCUACUCGAGGAUUAGGCAGCCUGGCCUCACCGUGCCGAUGACAGUCAGUGAAAGCAGCUGUUUAUAUUUCAAACUUUCUGAUGUAGCAGAAAGUCACAAGCUCAUACCUUUGGGUUUUUUUUCCUCUUUUUCUUUUUUUUGGCAAAGCCUCUAGAGAAACAAACAGUACUUAAAGAAUUCAGAAUGUUGCUGCCUACAUUUAUAUAAACAUUUCAGGAUGCUGAUGUCACAUCCUACACCGCAUCCCAACCUCAGCAAGCAUGAAGACUUCUCUUUUGAGCUGUGAAGAAGAACAGGAUUCACCUGACAGACCAGCACUGAUGUCUGGGAAGCUGAGCGGAUCUACGCUGUGCUUGAAUUGUGAGGACAACUCAGCUCACACAUGGGGCUGUGGUCCCCGUGCCCAAUCCCAGUACUCUGCAAAUACAGCCUUCUAAGGUUCGCACAGCCCAGCCUAGCUGUAGUGCCCACAGGAGUGGGGUUUUCAGUCAGGUCUGGCCAAAAUACAGCUGUUGUACCCCUUUUUGGUUGAGAACUGUUCAAAUAGGGCAUUUCCAGGCUGGAUGUAGCCCUGGGCAGCCUGGUCUAGUGGAUGGCAACCCUGCACUCAGCAGGGGGUUGAAACUAGAUGAUCUUUGAGGUCCUUUUCAACCCAGGCCAUUCUGUGAUUCUGUUCCCUGGGUUAUUGGUUUCAGGUGGCCCAUUUGGGUGCAAGAGCUUGGAGGAUGAUGAGAGGCAGCUGGGGGAUGAAGGGUUGCCUCAGACCUUCUGCUGUCUGAGCGCAAGAGGUAGGAUUGCUGGGAUUCUUCUGGUUAUUCUCUUCAUGGUGGCUCCAACGUUGUCCCUCCUGCUCUGAGUUCCCUCAGAUAUGUGCCCUGAGCUCCUACUGUGUGGGGGUUUUGCUAUAUCACUUUUAUUGUGCAGUAGAAAGGCUUCAGAGCUGCUAAGUGGAUGUGUAUUGUUGGGCACCAGGUCAUUCCUGCUCUCCUGCAGCGUGUCAGAAGGGGCUCCAUGCCCAGCUGCUGUUGGAGGACUCCUACUCUCUACCCUAGUGGCUAAGUGGAGCUCUGUGCUGCCACUUUCAUGAUACCCCAGGGAGUACUUUUUUUCAGCCAUCACUUAUUGCAAAAGCACACUGAUCAGCAGGUUCCAGCCUGGUAGGAAUAGUAACCUGUCUUGCUUCGUGUUACUUGAGAGUCAGCACUUCCACCAGAUGAGACUGAGGGAUAAGGAAUGUUUAUUUAGGAGUGUGGAUGUGUGAUAUUAGAAUAAAGUUUAUAAAAGAAAACAGAAACUCUGUACUUAAGCGUAGUUUUUUCUGUAGCUAUUCCUGCAGCCCUGCUAGUUCUUUAGGGCAGCAUGAUAGCUACCUUCUACAGAGGCUGCCAUAUUCUGGAGUGCUUUCUGCUGCCUCUUCCUCCACUCUUAAAGGUGGCUGUUAAAGAAACUGUUCUGAUCACCCUGUUCCUUCCCUCUGCCAUAUAGAAGAACAUUCCUUCUUCUUGUUUGGUUACCCUGUUGUACCCUGUGAAUUAUCUCCAGGAACUUCUAUGGCUCCAUAAGGACUUCUGCCUCACCCUCCCACUCUUUCAGGUUACUGAAUUUACAUUUCUGUUGUAUAAGUAAUGACCUCAUUCCUGGACUCAGGCAUCUGUUUGCUUACGAAAACAGCACAGUGUGACUCCAUAAGUGAUAUGAGAAAUGCUAACAGUACAAACUCCUUUUAUGAUUUGUAACUGCUAGUUUGCCACAGACUUUGCACAAGGGCUAAAUGCUUGGACACGGACAAAGGGUGACCAGAGGAUGUGGUUGCCAACACGGUACCACACUUGGCUCCCAUUGCAUUAGGUUUUCAGGACUCCACCCCAACCAGCUACAGAGGAGAUGCUGGGUUUUCCAUAGCCAAUAAAAAGCAAAUCCCAUGUCUGUUGUCGUGCCCAUUAUUGCAGUGUGAUGCUGCUUUUGCAGGGAUUUUUCCACAUCAGUACCAUUGGCAAAUGCAUGCCCACAGAAGCGGGGGACCUCCAGUACUCAACUGGUGGCCUUGAGGAAAGGCUGCUCCAGCUCUGCCAUGGUCAGAACCCAGCAAUACCCCACCAAGGAAAUGGCAUUUUACUGACGCAAAAGAGAGGGCAUGGGUUAAUGGGCUCUGGAGGAAAGAGCUCGCUGUAUCUGCCAAGCCUGUUAUUGCCCCUUGAGCUUUGCGUGCAGAUGGGUGUGCAAGAGCUCAUAAGUUCUCCUCCUCUUCCUUUGAUGUGCCCAAAAGCGUCCACAGGGCUUGAGUGCUAUAGAUUCAGCAGUCCCAUGGAUAGGCCAUGCCCUUUGCUGAGACUGCUGAGAGUUACUGUUCUCAAUUUUGUUGCUGCAGUUAACCCCUUCAAGGAGAUCAGAGAUGCCUAGGGUGCCUCACCUUUAUCCCCUGCCCUGCUGCCAGAGGAACCAAGCGACAAAAAAGUACUACUUAACAUCAGCAGAGCCACAGUUCUCAAAUCCUGCUGAAAUGACUGAGAUCACA